UACGUAGGGUGCAAGCGUUGUCCGGAAUCAUUGGGCGUAAAGAGCGUGUAGGCGGCCAGAUAAGUCCGCUGUGAAAUCUCGAGGCUCAACUUCGAGCUGUCGGUGGAAACUGUCUGGCUAGAGUCCGGAAGAGGAGAAUGGAAUUCCUGGUGUAGCGGUGAAAUGCGCAGAUAUCAGGAAGAACACCCGUGGCGAAGGCGGUUCUCUGGGACGGUACUGACGCUGAGACGCGAAAAGCGUGGGGAGCGAACAGG
rnacentral:rRNA from 1 species